AGUCAAUAGAUACCCUGGUAGUCCCAGCUGUAAACGAUGCAGACUCGGUGAUGAGUUGGCUAUAUGCCAUCUCAGUGCCGCAGGGGAAGCCGUUAAGUUUGCCGCCUGGGGAGUACGGUCGCAAGACUGAAACUUAAAGGAAUUGGCGGGGAGCACCACAAAGGGGUGAAGCCUGCGGUUCAAUUGGAGUCAACGCCGGAAACUCUUACCGGGGGUCGACAGCAGUAUGAAGGUCAAGCUGAAGACUUUACCAGACAAGCUGAGAGGAGGUGCAUGGCCGUCGCCAGCUCGUGCCGUGAGGUGUCCUGUUAAGUUCAGGUAACGAGCGAGACCCCGUGCCUCUAGUUGCUACCAUUAUUCUCAGGAGUAAUGGAGCUAAUUAGAGGGACUGCCGUCGCUGAGACGGAGGAAGGAGGGGGUCUACGGCAGGUCAGUAUGCCC
rnacentral:rRNA from 1 species